CCCCACCUCCAUGUCAACAAUGGGACUCCCUCACAGGCAUCUCACUUGGCUUUCUCACUCCCUCUCUUUCCUUGUGUUGCCUUUAGUGCUACCGAUUUUGCAGAUGCUUGCACAAUGCAAGACAUUUUCAUUGUGAAGAAUUCUUCGUUGAACCCCUGAAGCUUGUGUCCACAUUCUGUUGGCAGACUGCACACUUGUCUGUUGUUGCUGCUGAGACAGAGUCUCAAUCUGUAGCUCAGGCUGACCUAGGACUUGCAUUCCUCAUGUGUCUGCCUUCAAGUUCUGGGAUGACAGCACAUGGUGUGAGGAGUCAGCCCUGCCCAAAACUCAGGAGUUUCUGAAGCUGAGAUCACAUGAAUUUUGACAAAUGAAGGGACACCAUUUCAAAACGGGCUGUUCAAAUGAGUCAUGAGAUAUUUAUAGCUCUGCAGGGUGUCUCACCAACACCGCACUCUCAUGUGGCAGAGCCAGAAAGUGCAGCAGCAGAAGAUUCAACAAACGAAUAAUGAAAUAUCAUAGGCCAUGAGAUAUGGUUCUUUGUUUAGCGGUCAAGUUGACAUUUUUGUCUUUAAUAAGACUCAGAGUUGAGACAGCAAUUUGUUGAUCUGCUUUGCAAAUUAGAAUGCCUAAUGUGGCAGUUACUCUUGACUGUUGGGCAGGGGAAGUAACUCAGUCGAGUUCUGACACUUAAGCUUGAGGAUCUAUCAGAGUUUGUAACCCUACAGUCUAUGCAAAAAAGCUGGAAAUACUGGGUGUCUAAAACGCAAGAACUAGGGUUAGGGAUAGGAGCAGAAAGAGACAAGUGGAUCCUGAAGUUCAUUUCCCAACCAGAACUGCCAUAGUGUGAGCUCCAGGGUCACCAAGAGCCCUUGUCUUGAAAAAUUAGGUGAAGAAUGUGACACCCAAGGUUGACCUCUAGCCAUACACAUGUAUGACCGCAUACACAUGUGUGCCUGCAUGUACCACAUGCACACAUAUACUAGAAGUAACCCCCCCCCACACACACACACACUUGACUGUCAGCUUGAUUGGAUUGAGAGAUGCCUAGAUUAGCAAAGAACAACAUGGAGUGUGUCCAUGAGGGGUUUAUAAAGACCUGCCUUGAAUAUGGGUGGCACUGUCCAAUAAGCUGGGGGCUUGGAUGGAAUAAGCAGUGUUUUGCAGGAGGAGGAGGAGGCCAGACAGUGCAGGCACAUACUUGGCUCCUUGAUGUGAGCGUCACAGCUCUGUCAAAACCCCUGUGCCAUCGAGGCCUGAAAUCCCAAUCUGAAAAUAAAGCUUACCUUCCUUAAAUGGUUUCAGGUAUCUGUCACAUGGACGAAAUCUGACAACAGUACCCAAGUACAAAGCUUCCCAGGGACACAGCUUCCUCCAGGGAUGAGGCCAAUGAUGGUUACUUAUGUAGCCAUUUUUUAAAAAAAUUUUUAAAAAGUGAUUUAUUUAUUUUUAUGUGCAUCGAUGUUUUGCCUGCAUAUAUGUCUGUGUGAGGGUCAUACAGGCAGUUAUGAGCUGCCAUGUGGGUGCUGGGAAUUGAACCCAGCACUGAGCUGUCUCUCCAGCCCUUAGUCCUGACCAUUUUUUAAAAUUUUAAUUUAGCUGGAUGUGGUAGCACACGCCUUUAAUCCCAGCACUCGGCAGUGGUAGGCUGAUCUCUGAG